GGCGGGGCGACGCGGCGUGGUGGUUUCGGGGCAUCGACAGACUCAGCAGAGAUCUGUGUGAAGCUCAGCAUCUUCCUUGGCUGCCUCGGCUCUGCUCGGCUCAGCUUCGGUGGCUUUGGAUGGGCCCAGUGCUUAGAAAUGGAACUCAAAGCAUGAGACCACACGAGCCAAGAGGAUUUUCCAAAAUGAGUUUAACUAGACUGAAGCCGCUGGGAUUUGUGGCCUCUCUGUACAGACAAACAAGUCAGUGCACAAGAAGGACCCGGCUGGAGAACUGACUGAAUUUUUUUCCCUGGAGGAUGUUAGGCAACGCCACUGAAGGCAGAGAGACACUGGGACACUACUGCAGACUAAGCA